rnacentral:lncRNA from 1 species
AGUGGACUCCAUGGUGAAGAAUCUGGAGAGAGAGAACCUCCAGAAGAUGCAGGGCUUCAUGUUCCGGUGCAGUGCCCACUGUUCUGAGGACAGCCGGGCAUCCAUGCAGCAGGUGCGCCAGUGCUUUGAGUGUUACCCUCCCCCCAUGCACCUCUGCCUCAAGCCCAGGCCCUGGUCACCAGCAAGUGGGAGGAGUUCCAGGACUGCCUGCUUUGCGCUGCGGUGACAAAGCCAAAGAUUCAACAGAUGUGGGGAGUACAGAGCUCCAGGUGAAGCGGCAGCUGGCAGGCGGUGUGACCAAGGGUGUGGACGGCCACAUGAGCCUCAUCCCAGCCAUGACCAGGAAGGUGAAGGCGUCCCUCUGGUCCAAGGGGAAGUAGACGUCUGCCGUUGGCCACUGGCGCUGAGGGCGGGGAGCUAUGUGAAAAGAGGGAUGGGGGCUCUGGGUCUUCUAAGCCAAGUUUAUGAAUGAAGAAAUUACAGAUGGAAGCAGGUUUAAGGCACCUGUCACUCGCCCCUGGACACUGGUUCCUUCGUGUUUCAGUCCUAGAAAGUGAAACGGGAAAAUGGAUCUGGGGCUAAAAUUUGGGUCAGGGAUCGCACGGGAGAGUUUUGGAGAGCCUCAGUUUCGCGUGGCAAGUGCCUAUCCUGGCAGCAGGGACCCGCCCGCAUAGCAGAGCCCUCCGACGUAUCAGAGUCCCUAGUACACAGAUACCAACAGGCUGGCAGCUUCCUCUAGCCUGCCUGGGACCUAGUGGCGUGUGAGGAGAGGUGUUUCUGCUUCUUGCCAGCCAACCUCCUAUUUACCAGAAGGAUGAACACACACCGAGCCAUUUUCCACAAACUACAAUAAAACAAAAUCCACAAGGUCACCAGUUUAGGAGGGGCUUCCAGGGUUUUAUUUUAUACACAAGGGUAUGAAGUUAGUUUGAGAUGUGGCGUUGGGAGCGGUAGUGCGGAUGAGAGCUUUGAAAGGGUCCCUGUGAGUACUCGUUUCUGGCCAUCGAGAUGUAGGCGUGCCUUACUUAAAAUGCUCACACGCUGACAUCGUUCGGCCUGGAGACCUUGCCGAGAUAUGAGAGGGGAUGUCGGACGGUGUGGGAAGCAGGUGUCCCUUUCACUGGCGGCCACGAUGGCCCUGAGGCUGCAGCAGAGGGACGGGACCGUCUUACGCUGACACUCACCCUUGAAGGAUCUCAGUUGCGUUCUGUACUAGGAUUCGGGAGUGCACAGUGCAAGAGGAACUGUCGUCUGCUUAAUUCAGAGAGUUGUGAAGGACUGGAUUUGGAAAAAUCUGGUUUUCAUAAAACAGAAUAGAACGAAAGCCUAAAUCCAGUUUUGCUUAUGUUGCCACUUAAAGAGCAGGGCUCUGUUGAGAUGAUCCCUUGGCAACGUGAAGGUCAAGGGAGAAAAAGUAAGCGACUCGGGGCUGGCUGUGACUCCUUGGAAGAGAGGAACAGGCCUCAGGAGCAAAUACCGCUUUUGCCAGGGCCUUUGUUCUUACCCCAGUUCGGGCACCUUAUUGUCUUUUUACCAGCUUAUUCCUUAAAGUGAAAAUAUAGCCUUUGUGUUUGCUGUUUUGAGACUGUGAUGUAUUUUCCUGGUGGUUUGGUUUUAAAAAUAAAUAAGGUUUAAUUGUUUUCUUCCCAAAACAAAAAAACUAAAAACCCCAAAGUAAGCUAUGCUACAGCUGAUGCAGGGUCCUCUCACCGCCAGUGGUGCCCAUUAGUCAGGGUGUGUGUGACUACCCUGGGUCGGCCCCUCCAGGGUAGUCACACACACAGCACCCCCAUCGCCUUGCUGCCAGGGUGCCCAUGCUCCCCCCGAGAUUCUUUAGUUCCGCCCCUGAGAAUGCUCCAGUGGGCAAUGUAGGGAGAGAUACCAUGCAUGUGCCCACAGGUGGCCCUGCCUUCAUCUUCAGAGCUAGAGAAGGCCUCCUGGAGGACUCGGUGCUGAAGCCGAGACCUAUUUCUGCUACAGAAAGCCCUGUGUGCAGCCACAAGCGCAAGGGCUCGGAUCACAGACCUUCAGAGUCAGGGAAACCUCAGCAGUUAUCGGGAUGUGGUUGCCAAUGUUUGUAAACCACCAGAGCUUCUUCAAAGGAAAAGUCUCUUGGCUCUUUAGAUGUAGGAGGCUGCUUUGGGUUGAUGGGUGAGGGGAGGAGGAGGCCAGAGACCUUCGUAGGGCACCCCCUUGCCCUCCUCUGUGGAUCCUGAACCACAGUGCGAGGAAACAACAGGUUGAACUGCCCCCCUCUCCCCCCCCUCUCCCGUGGCUGACCAAGAAGUGGAGGUCCAGAGAGGUAGAGAAACUUAACAAGGGCACACAGCAAGUUGUGUGAUGCAUGUUGUCGAUGGGCAGAUUUCUGGUCAUCCAUCCCUGGGCUCCCCAAAACCUUGAUACCCUUCUUGAGAGUCGAUAAUGUAGCCCAAUUAUCAGCUACUGUGAAUAAACUGUGGGACUUCUGCUCUAGGACCAGGUGCCUUUCUGACUUUAAUCCCAUCAGGAAAUAGCAUUUUGUUUGGUUGCUAUUUUUAUUUUGCAGACUGGCUGAGGUCUGUAGGCGGUCCUAAGUUAUGCAUGGUUGCCACUCCCAGCUACCAUGCAUCAAAAGCCCAUGACAUGCUGGGUACUGGGAAGUCCCCUCCUGUGUCACUUACUCUCCAUGGUUCAGGGAGAUUGGUAGAUGAGAAAACUGAGGCUGAAAGAAGUGGAGAAAAGAUUAAAAGCCCCUGCUCUUUGCAAGAGAUAUGCCACCUCCCCAGGAAGAUGAAGAUAAAUGUGAAAUGCCCUGGAUCGAGUAGAAUGAAAUUGCUAAAAAAAAAAAAAUCAGAGUGCCAUUUAAGGGUGAAGGUUGGACUGUGUGACUCAGGAGGAAAGGGAGGCCAGACCUGAGGCUGACCACAAGCGGAUGCAAGGCAGCCAAACAUCCAGCAGGGAUGGCUUGGGGUCUGAAAGGGUGGUAAGAAAGCAAGGAGUGAAAUGGCAAAAUUGUAGAAAAGGAGACUAGUUCCCUGGUUGUCAGGGUGGGAGAGGAGGUGUGGCUCUAAAAGGGCAGCAGGAAGGAUCCUGUGGUAUCAGAAAUGCUCUGUAUCCUCAUUGUAUUGAUGACCGCAUCUAGAAGUUAUAAUGUUGCAGUUUCGCAGGAUGUUAUCACUGGGGGAAAUGGUGACAAGGAUAUGGGAUUUCUCCCUGUUAUUUCCUAAAGCUCCAUGUGAAUCUGUAACUAUCUCAGCAAGUUUAAUUAAAAAUGUAUAGUUUCCAUUGUGGCUCAGCAGGUUAAGUAUCCAUGAGGAUAUGGGUUUGACACCUGGCCUCGCUCAGUGGGUUAAGGAUCCACUGUUGCUGUGGCUCUGGUGUAGGCCAGCAUCUGCAGCUCUGAUUCUACCCCUGGUCUGGGAACUUCCAUAUGCCAUGGGUACAGCCCCCAAAGGGGAAAAAAAUGUGUAUGUAAGGGCCCAGAAUCAAGAUGGCAGAGUGGUAAGAUGUGGAACACAGCUCUUUCCACUGUACAUCAAGAAUACAUCCGCACAUGGAACCGUUUUCACAGAACACCUACUGAACACUAGUGGAAGACCUCAAACAAGGACAAGAAAGAUCUCCAUGGGUAGGGAGAAAGGAAAAAAAAAAAAAAAGAGGAAGCGGGACGGGGCCCGCCCACCUGGGAGGGAGCUGAAGGAGAGGAGAGUUUCCUGCACCCUGGAAAGCCCCAUCAUCAGUGGGGAGAUCAGCCGAGACAGAAGAGGAGCUUCAGAGGCUCAGAGGAGAGAACAACAACUGGUUUGUGGCAGGCAGGAAACUCUCUACAUAGACAUUCCAUGCGACCACCUUGCAUACUCCAGCCUGAGACUCCUCUCUGCUAGUAGGGGUGGGGGUUGGGUGCUGGAACUUGGGGUUUGGUGGACAGGUCCUGGGAAAGAACUGGUGUUGACUGCGUGGUGACAGCCUAAAGGGACUGGAGCAUGGUACAGCUGUAAUUGAGAGUGUUCCAGAAUGAAUAAUGCAGAAGAACAAAUGAGUGAUCUGGAAGAUAGAAUAAUGGAAAUCACUCAGUUAGAACAGCAGACAGAAACCUAAACAAACAAAAAAAAUGACAUCUAUAUGAGACCUGUGGGCUAAUAGAAAGCAUGCCAGUCUAUGCAUAAUAGGGAUCUCAGGAAAAGAAAAAGAAGAGGGGAUUGGAAAUCUAUUUGAAUAAAUUAUGGCUGAAAACUUCCCAAAUCUAAAGAAGGAAAUAGAUAUCUAGAUACAGGAAGCACAGAGGGUCCCAAACAAUAUAAACUCAAACAGACCUACACCAAUACAUAUAAUAAAAAUGGCAAAAGUUAAAGAUAAAGAGAGGAUUCUAAAGGUGGUAAGAGGAAAGCACAGAGUUAAUGACAAGGGCGCCCCCAUAAGGCUAUCUGCUGAUUUUGCUGCAGAAGCAUUGCAGGCCAGAAGGGAGUGGCAAGAUUCAAAGUCCUUUCAGAGAAAACUGUAACCUAGGAUACCCAGCAAAAUUAUCAUUUAGAAGAGAAGAAGAGACAAAGAAUUUUUCAGACAAGGAAAAACUGAAAGAAUACAGAAAUACCAAACCUUUCCUAAAGGAAACAUUGAAAGGGAGUCUCCAAAUAGAAAAGAAGAAUUUAUAGGAAAACCACAAUUAGAAAGGAAAUCACUCAAAUAAGCCAGUACACAGAUUUCUAAAAAUUAAAACAUUUCUGUGAAAGUGAUGAUAACCUCAGUGAACAGCAAAAGGGUGAGCAUGAAGACGCAAAAGAGGACAUCGAAGUCAUAAAAUGCAGGGGAGGAGAGUACGAAAAUGUAGGGUUUUUUCCUAGAAUGCGAUUGAGCCUACAUGACUACCAGUCCAAAGCAAGUAGAAAUAGGAAUGAUAGCUAAUAAGAUGUAGCAUACUUGAAAAACAGGGCAAUACAAAUCAAAAAUAUAUGCAGUAGUUUCACAAAAUCCAAAACAGAUAGAACAUAAGUGCAAAACAAAAGAAAAUCAUCAAACCAUAAAAGGCAAAACAUAAAGAAAGGGACAAAGAAGAAAUAUAGAAUUAAUGGAAAAACAAGGGUUAAGGUGGCAAUAAAUACACACUUCUCAAUAAUUCCCUUAAAUAUCAGUGGACUAAAUACUCCAGUCAAAAGACAGUGACAGUUUGGAUAGAAAAAAAAUGUGAGAUGAGUCUACAAUAUGCUCUACAAGAGACCUAUUUUAGGGCAGAGAACACACGUAGAUUGAAAGUGAGGGGACAGAAAAAGAGUUCAUGUAAACAGAAAUAACAAGAAAGUGAAGUUUGCAUACUCAAAUCAGACAAAAUUGACUUUAAAACAAAGGCUAUAAAGAAAGAUAAAAAGGAUAUUAUAUAAUGACAAAAGGAUCAAUAGAGAGAAUAUUACACUCUUCAACAUAUGUGCAUCCAAUAUAGGAGCUCCCAAAUACAUAAAACAAACACUAAGAGAUAUAAAGGGAGACAUUGAUAAGAAUACAAUAAUAGUAGGAAGCUUUAACACUCCACUCACAUCAAUGGGCAAAUCUUUUGAGACAAAAAGUUAAAAAGGCAACAGAGAUCCUAAGUGAUGCAAUAGAACAGUUAGACUUAAGUGAUAUCUUCAGGACAUUACAUCCAAAAAAUGCAUAAUACACAUUCUUUUUAAGUGCACAUGGAACAUUUUCUAGGAUUGGCCACAUACUGGGGCACAAAAUAAGCUUCAACAAAUUUAAGAGUGUAUAGGAAUUAUUUCCAACAUCUUUUCUGACCACAGUGGCAUGAAACUAGAAAUCAACCACAGAAAAAGAAAUGAGAGUAAAAAACAACUACAUGGAGAUUGAAAAACAUGCUACUAAAAAUUAGUGGGUCAACAAUGAAAUCAAAGAGGAAAUUGGAAAAUAUCCUGAGGCAAAUUAUAAUGAAAACACAACCAUACAAAAUGCGUGGGAUGCAGCAAAAGCAGUUCUUAGAGGGACGUUCAUAGUGAUAUAGGCAUUUUUUUAAGAAACAGGAAAGUGAGUUCCCAUUGUGGCAUUGUAGGUUCAGAACCUGACAUAGUGUCUCUGAAAAUAUGAGUUUGAUCCCUGGCUUCACUCAGAGGGUUAAAGAUCCAGCAUUGCUUCAGGCUGUAGUGUAGGUCACAGGUGUCACCACUGUUGCUGUGGCUGUGGUGUAGGCUGUCAGCUGCUGCUCCAAUUCAACCCCUAUUCUGGGAACU